rnacentral:lncRNA from 1 species
GAUUGUCGGCACCGGAAAUUUGAUCCAACCAGAUAUGACGGUCAUCGGCAGCUGACACUAAGAAUCUCCGGCGGGCGUAGCAGCUGAUGCGCCUAGUCCUGGCUCCGAUUAACUGGAACCGCCUAUUCCCGAAGCGGACCCGACCGCCGCCAGCACAGCAGCUCAUUCCGAUCAUCAUUCCUCCAAGUAUUCGCCGCCGCUUCGGUCUAGGAAUGGAGAUUAACGCGUUCA